rnacentral:rRNA from 1 species
AUGGCCCAAGGCCCAGCCGCAGUGCCCGCUGUUAACCCUAGCCCCGAGUCCCCCGAUCCAAUCUCUCCCCCUCGUUUCCCCUCAGCGCCGUCACCUCCCUCGCUACCGCGGCCGCUCCCCUCGAUCCCCAUCUUCCUGCGCCCGACCAUCUCCUCGCCGGCCGCCCGCAUCUCCCGCGCCACCGUCCGCUCCUCCCAUCGCCUCAAACCCCUCCACCCGAGCCGCUCCUCCUCACCUCGUCUCCCUCGUCGUGGCUGCCCACGAGGCUCCUGCCACCGGCACCUCUUCCUGGCCGGAUUCGUCGCCCGUCGCGCCAUCUCCUGCGCCCGGUCCCCUUGCCGGCUUGCUGCCUCCAGCCGCUCCUCUGCAGCUCCUCCUCCGCCUCGACCUCUCCGCCGGCAGCAGCAGCAGCUGCUGCACCCUCUCGCCAACGCCGCGCCCGAACCUUCCCCGACCUCCUCGUCGUCGCUUCGCCCGUCCGUGACCACCGGUGCCCUCGCCGGAGCUUCCGCAAGCCGUCCCCGCGGCUCCAAGCCCCUCCGCCAUCUCCCUGGCCAAGUUGACGCCAGGGCCGACCCCAAGCUCUCCUGUGCUGCCGUCAUCAGCCACAGGCUCAGGUCCGGCAAGAUCGCCUCUGCUGCUUCGUCGCCCUCCUGCGCCUCCCGCGAACCCGCCUUCCUUGCUGAGCCCCGUGGCGUGGCCCUUCUCCGGCAGCUAGCGCCCCUCCAUGGACGACCACCACUGCCGGUGCACGCCUCUGGAUUCGUCCAAGUCCGAUGUUGUUUUUUUACAACUACGCUGCGGAGACCAAGACCACCAAGUCCGCACGGGAGCCCGAACGACUACUUCCAUGACGAUGCGAGUACAAGUACCCUCUUCGUGGUUUUCGCCAAGUACCGCACCGGACGCCAAGUACCUCUUCGAGUUGACAAGACCGGCAAGCCCGACGACCUCGGACAUCUACGAAAACGUGUACCCCUAUCGUCGACCCUCAAAGACCCCGUGGACCCCGAACAUCUACGGAUCAUGAACAACUACUUCAUCUACGAAACGUGUACAACUACCGCCGCCGCCGUGUACCACUACUUCCACUACCGUCACAUGAACGACGACUUCCACUACGCCGUGUACGACUACUUCCCACGACGACCCGUCAAUGUCUACCUCCACUACGGCCCGUGA